GGGGGAAUAGCUCAGUGGUAGAGCGCUGGAUUCCAGUCCCAGCGGUCGGGGGUUCGAUCCCCUCUUUCUCAU
rnacentral:tRNA from 1 species